UACGUAGGUGGCAAGCGUUGUCCGGAUUUACUGGGCGUAAAGGGCGUGCAGGCGGUCUGUUAAGUGCAGGGUGAAAGCUCCCGGCUCAACUGGGAGAGGUCCUUGCAUACUGGCGGACUUGAGGGGGGUAGAGGAAAGUGGAAUUCCCGGUGUAGUGGUGAUAUGCGUAGAUAUCGGGAGGAACACCAGUGGCGAAGGUGGCGAUCUGGGAAGAUACUGACGCUGAGGUGCGAAAGCGUGGGGAGCAAACAGG
rnacentral:rRNA from 1 species